GAUGGAGCAAAUCCCAAAAAUAAACGUCCCAGUUCGGACUGUAGUCUGCAACCCGACUACACGAAGCUGGAAUCGCUAGUAAUCGCGGAUCAGAAUGCCGCGGUGAAUACGUUCCCGGGUCUUGUACACACCGCCCGUCACACCAUGGGAGUCAGUAACGCCCGAAGUCAGUGACCUAACCGAAAGGGAGGAGCUGCCGAAGGCGGGACGGAUGACUGGGGUGAAGUCGUAACAAGGUACC
rnacentral:rRNA from 1 species